rnacentral:rRNA from 1 species
GUGCCAGCAGUCGCGGUAAUACGUAAAGGGCAAGUAAUACACAUAAUAGGCAUAAAGGGUCAGUAAUACUGAUAAUAUAUAUAUUAUAUAUAUAUUAUCUAGAAUGUAUAUAGAUAUUAUGUAUGAGGCAUAUGAGUAGCGGUUAAAUGUAUAGAUACAUAUGUUACAGCUAUCAUUAGUAGUAGUAUAAUAGUAUAUACAUUGACGUUGAGUGACGAAACUUAAGGUAUCGAAUAGGACUAGUUAACCUAUUAGUCUUAAGUGUAAACGAUGUAUACUAAUAACUUAUACUAUAUAUGAGUUAUUAAGCUAAUGCGUAAGUAUAUCGCCAGGGGAGUAUAUGUUAACCAACGAAACCCAAAACAAUAGACAGUCUAAGAUAUAACAGUGGAUUAUGUUAUUUAAU